CUCGAGGGAGGAUUCUCGUUAAUUCCAGGUCAGGAAGAGACCAGAACAACCCCAGCGUUCUGGGCAUGAACAGAGAGCCAAGGACCAUCUCCAGACAUCGAAGGGCAUUAUUAUCACGGAUAAGAACACAGAUGCUGGGGCUGGAGAGAUGGCACAGAGGUUAAGAGCUGGCACUAAUCUUUCAGAGGACUGGAGUUUGGUUCCCAUUCCCAUGUUGGGCAGAUCAUGACAGCCUGUGACUACAGCUUCAGAGGGCCUAGAACCUUCUUCUGGAGACCCUGCAUGCACUGCCUUCAUGUGCUCCUUUCCCUAAGACACAGACGCCUUCCUAACAGUCUCUGGUGACAACAGGACAGGAACAUCACAGCUGUUUAUGUGCUAUGAUUUCCUGUGUGUGCACACAGGAAUAAGACCCUCUUGCCUUGCCCACAAACCACUCUUCACUCUUGGGAUGACCUUGCUCCAGCUGGGAUCAGAAGUUCUAGAGCAUUCUGGAAGACAAAAUGGGUAGCAAGCACAGGCGAAAGCUCCCAACUUCAUCACCACCGGGAAAAUGCAAACUGCGACCAUCAGAUGCCACCUCUCAAACAUA
ensembl:processed_transcript